ACCCGCGAACUCGUUUUAAACACCGGGGGCGGCGCUCGCUCGUCGCGCGCCUCCCCCCGUCGCCCGAGGCGCGCAAGCUCUUCGGGCGACCAACGAACCCCGGCGCGGAAAGCGCCAAGGAAUACUACAAUCGACAGCCCUCCCCCUCGCGCCCCGUUCGCGGAUCGUGCGGGGGGAAGCGCGCUGCUCUGUUAACACAAACGACUCUCGGCAACGGAUAUCUCGGCUCUCGCAUCGAUGAAGAACGUAGCGAAAUGCGAUACUUGGUGUGAAUUGCAGAAUCCCGUGAACCAUCGAGUCUUUGAACGCAAGUUGCGCCCGAAGCCAUUUGGCCGAGGGCACGUCUGCCUGGGCGUCACGCAUCGCGUCGCCCCCUCGCACGCCGCAAGGCUUUAGCGCGGGGGCGGAAGCUGGCCUCCCGUGCGCCCCGAGCGCGCGGCCGGCCUAAAUGCGAGUCCACGUCGACGGACGUCGCGGCAAGUGGUGGUUGAAACUCAACUCUCUCUUGUUGUCGCGGCUACAGCCCGUCGCGCGUCCGGACUCCCCGACCCUCACCGCGCCUCACCAGGCGCUCCGACCGCGACCCCAGGUCAGGCGGGAUACC
rnacentral:rRNA from 1 species